AUGAAUACUCCAAGGUUUUCUGUUAUAUGUUCGUCCAAAAAUGAACAGGGUGGUAGCCAACUUCAAAGACUGCAGUAUCAAUUUACGAAAUUGAUAAAAGGCUUUUCUCGCCCUCCUGAAGUUGAAUAUGCAAAUUAUAAUAAGAGUCGAUGGGCUGCCAACAUUCAUUUGGAGUACAAUGUAAGGUCUUUUGUGCAUGUGGUGCAUUCGAGCUUGGUUCUUUGCUUGAGGCGGUUCUUAUCGGUAGCUUGGAUUUGGUUGUGUGUAGAAUCUUGUUUAUCAAUGUUUGUACGUAUUUCAGUAGCUGUAAUUAAUUUUGGGGUUGGAUUAGCUUUGGUGGAGUUUCUGUCAUCUAGCAGUAUGAAUGUAACAUAUUGUAACUUCUCCCUAUAA